rnacentral:rRNA from 1 species
GACGAACGCUAGCGGCGGGCUUAAUACAUGCAAGUCAAGGGGGAGCAAUACACCGGCGUACGGGUGCGUAACGCGUAUGGAACCUGCCCUUAUCUGGGGGAUAACUCGGGGAAACUCGAGCUAAUGCCGCAUAAGAUAGUAGAGAGGCAUCUCUUAGCUAUUAAAGAUUUAUGGGAUAAGGAUGGCCAUGCGUAAGAUUAGAUAGUUGGCGAGGUAACGGCUCACCAAGUCUACGAUCUUUAGGGGCUCUGAGAGGAGAAUCCCCCACACUGGCACUGAGAUACGGGGCAGACUCCUACGGGAGGCAGCAUGAGGGAAGAUUGGGCAAUGGGCGGAAGCCUGACCCAGGCACGCCGCGUGCAAGAAGACGGCCCGCUGGGUUGUAAACUGCUUUUGAUUGGGAAGAAAGCAACUCAUGCGUGAGAAUUUGACGGUACCAAUCGAAUAAGCCACGGCUAACUACGUGCCAGCCGCCGCGGUAAAAC